GUGGAUAUAGUUUAAUUAAAAUAUUGGAUUGUGAUUCCAAGGAUGGGGGUUAAAAGCCCCUUAUCCGCC
rnacentral:tRNA from 1 species